rnacentral:sRNA from 2 species
UAACUAUUUUUGCCGAAUUUCGUAUUGAAAACGGGGGAACCAUUUGUUGGGUGAAUUAUUCUUGCAAGAUAAGAAUAUAGGGAGCCUUUAACCGAAUCCUUAAGCUAACUCCGUAGGCAUCUAAGGGAGGAACA